AGUGGAUGCGAGCAUCUUUGUGGUCAAGUUUUUAUGAGCACAUGGUGGAUGCCUGGGCACUGGGCGCCGAUGAAGGACGUGGGAGGCUGCGAUAAGCCUCGGGGAGCUGUCAACCGAGCUGAGAUCCGAGGAUGUCCGAAUGGGGAAACCCAGCACUCGUGAUGGAGUGUUACCCGCACCUGAAUGUAUAGGGUGUGUGGAGGGAACGCGGGGAAGUGAAACAUCUCAGUACCCGUAGGAAGAGAAAACAACCGUGAUUCCCUGAGUAGUGGUGAGCGAAAGGGGAAGAGGCUAAACCGCAUGCGUGUGAUACCUGGCAGGGGUUGCGUGUGUGGGGUUGUGGGAGCCUGUUGGAGGGAUCUGCCAGUCCUUCGGAUGUGUGCUGGUGGUUAGCGGAAGCGCUUGGGAUGGCGCGCCGGAGUGGGUGAGAGUCCCGUACGUGAAAGCCAUUGGUGUGUGUCUGUGCAGGUUGUCCCGAGUAGCAGCGAGCCCGUGGAAUUUGCUGUGAAUCGGCCAGGACCACCUGGUAAGCCUAAAUACGUCCCAGUGACCGAUAGCGGAUGAGUACCGUGAGGGAAUGGUGAAAAGUACCCCGGGAGGGGAGUGAAAGAGUACCUGAAACCAUGUGCUUACAAGCCGUCAGAGCCUGCGGGUGAUGGCGUGCCUUUUGAAGAAUGAGCCUGCGAGUUAGUGCUGCGUGGCAAGGUUAACCCGUGUGGGGUAGCCAUAGCGAAAGCGAGUCUGAAGAGGGCGUGUGUGAGUCGCGUGGUCUAGACCCGAAACGGGGUGAUCUACCCAUGGCCAGGGUGAAGCGCCGGUAAGACGGCGUGGAGGCCCGAACCCACUUAGGUUGAAAACUGAGGGGAUGAGCUGUGGGUAGGGGUGAAAGGCCAAUCAAACCCUGUGAUAGCUGGUUCUCCCCGAAAUGCAUUUAGGUGCAGCGUCGCAUGGUUCACAUCUGGGGUAGAGCUACUGGAUGGCUGAGGGGCCUUACCGGGUUACCGAUGUCAACUAAACUCCGAAUACGGGUGUGUGUAGUGCGGCAGUGAGACGGUGGGGGAGAAGCUUCAUCGUCGAGAGGGAAACAGCCCAGAACGCCAGCUAAGGCCCCUAAGUGUGUGCUGAGUGGAAAAGGAUGUGGGAUUGCUCAGACAACCAGGAGGUUGGCUUAGAAGCAGCCAUCCUUGAAAGAGUGCGUAAUAGCUCACUGGUCAAGUGAUCCUGCGCCGAUAAUGUAGCGGGGCUAAGCACACCGCCGAAGCUGUGUCACCCAUGCGUGAACAUCGGUAUCCGCCUGCGGGUGGGUAUCCAGUGGUAUGGGUGGGUAGGGGAGCGUCGAUCACCUGGUGAAGCCGUGGCGUGAGCUAGCGGUGGAGGGUGGUGGAGUGAGAAUGCAGGCAUGAGUAGCGAAAGCAGAGUGAGAAUCUCUGCCGCCGGAUGACCAAGGGUUCCUGGGCCAGGCUGUUCCGCCCAGGGUUAGUCGGGACCUAAGGCGAGGCCGACAGGCGUAGUCGAUGGAUAACGGGUUGAUAUUCCCGUACCCGCGUGUGCGCGUCCCUGGUGAGGCGGGGGAUACUAACCACCCGAACCUCGGUGCUGGUCUUCGGACCGGUAUGCGGGGGGAGCGUGGGACCUGAUCCUGUAGUAGCCAAGCGAUGGGGUGACGCAGAAAGGUAGCUCCGCCAGCGGAUGGAAGUGCUGGUGUAAGCGUGUAGGAGGAGGCAUAGGCAAAUCCGUGCCUCGUUACAGCUCUGAGACGUGACGCGUAGCCGUAUGAGGCGAAGUGAGUGAUCCUCUGCUGCCGAGAAAAGCCUCUAGCGAGCGCACGGGCGGCCCGUACCCCAAACCAACACAGGUGGUCAGGUAGAGAAUACCAAGGCGAGCGGGUGAACUGUGGUUAAGGAACUCGGCAAAAUGCCCCCGUAACUUCGGGAGAAGGGGGGCCAAAACACGUGGAGCCCCGCGCGGGCCGAGCGUGGGUUGGCCGCAGAGACCAGCGGAGAGCGACUGUUUACUAAAAACACAGGUCCAUGCGAAGAAGCAAUUCGAUGUAUAUGGACUGACGCCUGCCCGGUGCUGGAACGUUAAGAGGACCCGUUAGCUCCCUCGUGGGGCGAAGCGGAGAAUUUAAGCGCCAGUAAACGGCGGUGGUAACUAUAACCAUCCUAAGGUAGCGAAAUUCCUUGUCGGGUAAGUUCCGACCUGCACGAAUGGCGUAACGACUCUCCGGCUGUCUCAACCACAGGCCCGGCGAAAUUGCACUACGAGUAAAGAUGCUCGUUACGCGCGGCAGGACGGAAAGACCCCGGGACCUUUACUACAGCUUGGUAUUGGUUUUCGGUUCGGCUUGUGUAGGAUAGGUGGGAGACUAGGAUAUCUCGACGCCAGUCGGGGUGGAGUCAUCGUUGAAAUACCACUCUGGUCGAAUGGAGAAUCUCAACCUCGGACCAUGAUCUGGUUCAGGGACAGUGCCUGGUGGGUAGUUUAACUGGGGCGGUUGCCUCCCAAAGAGUAACGGAGGCGCCCAAAGGUUCCCUCAGCCUGGUUGGAAAUCAGGUAUCGAGUGCAAGUGCACAAGGGAGCUUGACUGUGAGACCGACGGGUCGAGCAGGAGCGAAAGCUGGGACUAGUGAUCCGGCACCACCUGGUGGAAGGGGUGUCGCUCAACGGAUAAAAGGUACCCCGGGGAUAACAGGCUUAUCUUGCCCAAGAGUCCAUAUCGACGGCAUGGUUUGGCACCUCGAUGUCGGCUCGUCGCAUCCUGGGGCCGGAGUUGGUCCCAAGGGUUGGGCUGUUCGCCCAUUAAAGCGGCACGCGAGCUGGGUUUAGAACGUCGUGAG
rnacentral:rRNA from 1 species